rnacentral:rRNA from 1 species
CCCUUAGAUGUUCUGGGCCGCACGCGCGCUACACUGAUGCAUUCAACGAGUCUAAAACCUGCUCUGAUAGGGGUGGGUAAUCUUUUGAAUGUGCAUCGUGAUUGGGAUAGAUGAUUGCAAUUUUUCAUCUUCAACGAGGAAUGCCUAGUAAACGCAAGUCAUCAGCUUGCAUUGAUUACGUCCCUGCCCUUUGUACACACCGCCCGUCGCUCCUACCGAUUGAAUGAUCCGAUGAAUAUCAUGGAUUGAGGAUGCAAGCAGGUUCGCCUGUCUUCAUCUUCGAGAAGUGAAGUAAAUCUUAUCAUUUAGAGGAAGGAGAAGGCGUAACA